GACGAACGCUGGCGGCGUGCCUAAUACAUGCAAGUUGAGCGCUGAAGGUUGGUACUUGUACCAACUGGAUGAGCAGCGAACGGGUGAGUAACGCGUGGGGAAUCUGCCUUUGAGCGGGGGACAACAUUUGGAAACGAAUGCUAAUACCGCAUAUAAACUUUAAACACAAGUUUUAAGUUUGAAAGAUGCAAUUGCAUCACUCAAAGAUGAUCCCGCGUUGUAUUAGCUAGUUGGUGAGGUAAAGGCUCACCAAGGCGAUGAUACAUAGCCGACCUGAGAGGGUGAUCGGCCACAUUGGGACGGAGACACGGCCCAAACUCCUACGGGAGGCAGCAGUAGGGAAUCUUCGGCAAUGGACGAAAGUCUGACCGAGCAACGCCGCGUGAGUGAAGAAGGUUUUCGGAUCGUAAAACUCUGUUGGUAGAGAAGAACGUUGGUGAGAGUGGAAAGCUCAUCAAGUGACGGUAACUACCCAGAAAGGGACGGCUAACUACGUG
rnacentral:rRNA from 1 species